rnacentral:lncRNA from 10 species
CUUCCCAUGUGACUUGGUCACCUUCCCUGUCCUCAUGUUUGCCUGUAGGAAUUUUUUCUUUUGAUUAUGAAAGGUAGCUGAUAUGGUUAGGUUUUGUGUUCCCACGCAAACCUCAUCUUGAAUUGUAAUCCCCAUAAUCCCCAGGUGUCAAGGGAGAGACCAGGUGGAGGUAAUUAAAUCAUGGGGGUGGUUUUCCUCAUGCGUUCUCGUGAUAGUGAGUGAGUUCUCAGGAGAUCUGAUGGUUUUAUAAGGAGAAAUUCUCCCCUUUACUAGGCACGUCUUCCUGCUGCCUUGUGAAGAAAGUACUCUGCUUCCUCUUCCCCUUCCACCAUGCUUGUAAAUUUCCGGAGGCCUCCCCAGCCAUGCUGAACAGUUGGGCUUGAAAGUGUAACAAGAGGUUAAAAUAGAAGUUCUAGCUGAAGCACAAAGAAAGUAGAAACAACACAUCAAAGUGAGGGAUUUAUAAAGCAGGAGACUGAAAACCAGCUGGUGACUCUUGAAUUCCUCACCCUUAUUGAGAGUAUAAAAGGCUUAUAGCCCUCACCCUUUCACCUCAAAUCAAGAGGGAAGGGUUUUAGAAACACAACUUGGAGAGCUUAAUAUGUAUCCCUGAAGUUUGAGGAAAGGGGACGUAGUGUACUGACUUCUGCCUGGAAAGUCUAACAGGUGGGAGAUUAAUUGACUGCAAUGAAGGAGAAAGCCAAUGACAGGUUGCUUCUUGACUGGAAUUGUUCAGCACUCCAGAGGCUGUCAGGGAAAGGAUGUGAGCAUGCUGCCUGGAAUCUGAUGUGGCUCAGCUGUAGGACAAAGAUAGUGUGUUUUCUUAAGUUCUGACCAAAUGAACCACCUUAAGAGACAAAGAUCACUCAGCAAGGAAAGCUGAAGAUGCUAUGAGAUGCCAGAGGUUGGGGAAGGAGCAAACAACCAGCUGGAAUGGAUAUGCCUUUUCUCAAAGAAAAUUGCAAGUGGAAGAAUUCCAGCCAUGGGGUCUCCAAAGCAUCCGUGAAACUGUUCCACAAGACAAGGAUGGAUGACUGAAUGCCAAACCCAGAGAGCAGUGAAGCUAAAUCAACUCAAUCAUUUCAGUGAAGAAAGAAAUCUCCUGUCCUUUCCUGUCCCUGAACUCCAUGAUGAAGGGCCAUGUGCUGUAGGUAGCAAAACAGGGGAGAAAGAAUUUCAGUUUUCCUUUUCCCUUGAAAUUUUCUAGCUAAAUCAGUCCGAAAUGUGGAAGGAAAAAGCAUGAAGUUUUUUAUUUUUAUUUUUUGAGACUGAGUCUUGCUCUGUUGCCCAGGCUGGAGUGCAGUGGUGUGGUCUUGGCUCACUGCAACCUCCUCUUCUCGAGUUCAAAUGAUUCUCCUGCCUCUGCCUCCCGAGUAGCUGGAAUUACAGCCGUGCACCACCAUGCCCAGCUAAUUUUUAUAUUUUUAGUAGAAACAGGUUUCACCAUGUUGGCCAGGCUGGUAAUGAACUCCUGACUUCAGGUGUCUGCCAGCCUUGGCCUCCCAAAGUGCUGGAAUUACAGGCAUGAGCCACCACACCUGGCCACAUGAAAGCAUGAAAUUUAAUGCAGAUAGAUUUACCUAUCAUAUAAAAAUGGAAAACCGAAUUACUAAGUGGAACUGAUAUUUUGUGAUCCAGGAAUGACCAUGUCUGAACUUUCAUUUGAGGGGAAAAAGGAUAAUUAACACCAUUGAACAAAUUUAAAGGGAGAAUGGAAGACAAAGUAAAGUUGUUUUAUGUUUACAUACAGCUGUGCUAUUAAGAAAAGCUACCGAUUUUUAUUUUUUGUCUCGUACAAAUUUUUCUCAUUAAAGUUAUACAACCAACAAAAAUAGAUUUGUAUCUUCUUUUCUACUAUGAGUAUUGAUUAUUUUUAUCUCAUUGCAUUUGCUUGGACCUUCUCAAGAAUAUGGCAAAUAAUAAUAGUUAUACUAGGCAUCCUUGUCAAGUUCUGAUUUUAAUUGAAGAGGUUUUAGUGUUUCACCACUAGGAAUACUAUGUGCUUUUGGUUUCAAACUAGGCUUUAUUAAAUUUUAGUAUUUUAUUCCAGUUUUUAGUUUCUGUUUUCUAAUUUUCUUAUAAACAAUAAAACAAUUAUGUCUGUUGAAUUUGAUUGGAUGUCUUAUUUGUAACUAUCUGAUGACAUUUUAGUAUUGAUUAAUCAAAAAAUAUUUUCCUUUAGUUUAUUUUUUGAUUUUGCAUUAUGUUGAUAAAUUUCCUAGUAUUGAAUAACCUUGGUAUUCUUAGAACAUUCCUAACUUAGUAAUAAUAUAUAUUUUGGUACAUUGUUUGAUUAUAUUUGCUAAUAUUUACCUUUUUCUCCCCCCUACAGGCAUUUAGUGAAAUUGGUCCAUAGUUUUAUUUUCUUCUGCUAAUGCUAUGCUGAGUUAAUAAAAUGAAUUGAGAAGCACUCACCUUUUUCUGUGGUCUGGAAUAAGUAACACUGAAAUAAUCUGUUCUUAAUACAUACGAUGAAAUACUUACAAAUGUGCAUUAUUGUGGUGACUUUUAAAAUAGUACAUGUUUAAUUACCUUUGAAGAUGCUAACGUAGCAAUUAAAAAUGUUUUUUCAUUUAUGAGUCAAUUUGAAUAAUUAUGGUUUUCUAGAAUAACAUUCAUUUUCUCCAAGUUUCAAAGUUUGUUUGCAAUGGACAUGCAUAUUUUAUUCUCUAAGAAAAAAAUUUCUCAUUUAUCUAUGAUUAUGCCACAUUCUCAUUUCUAAU